AUGGGGGAAAGAAUGUGCCCAGGAGAACUCAGUGGCAGGAGUGAACCUGAAGGCCCAGCGAUCCUGAGAAUUAAGCAGCCCGGCAGUUGGUACUCGGCUACCUCAGCAGCUCAGAGCACAAUAGCUGGCGUCAGAGGGCACCAGGCGCCUGGUGAAUGUCAGUUCCUGGAAGCCAUCCGUGUGGGCAAGGUCAUCAGUCCUGGGAAAAGAGCUUGUUUGGGCUAUGGAGUGCCUAAACAAUGAAACUGGCUUACAGAGAAUCUACAAGUUAGUGUAUAAUAUAGAACUGAUUUCACAUGAUUGAUCUUUACUCCAGGGUGAGGUUAAACUUAAGAAGAAAAGAAAAACAAGUAAAGAAUGUUAAGUGAAAUCUCUUGCUCUGUCUGAGUCCUGGUAAACUUUUAUUGCUCAUUGUAGCUCCAUGAGAGGAAAAAUAAGUGUAUCUUAGGGCCCUGAGCUGUGAUUGGUGAAGCUUGUCAUUUGAGGAAGCUCUUGGGAUUGUAAUUGGUAUUGUUUUGAGUUUUGAAUUCUGGUAUAGUUGACUAAUCCGCCAUUCGAGAGACAUACCACAAGCUUCUCAGAUGUCUGUGAUCUUGAACCAUCACAGGUGGGAGUCUGUGUCUGGGAAAAAGCCGAGAGGACAACCUUGGCAUAGAAGGAAAGAGACUUCUACCUCAGUUUCCCCAUUGUGUUACUUCCUUUCGAACAGGAAUGUUUCCCAUCUGACUAUUCCUGAGUCUGGCUAUGAGGUGGAAAUUGUUACUGCAUGAUUGCUUGUCAACUCUGACUCUUACUUGAAGUCAAACAGAGCUAAGGAUGUUUCAUCCUGCCAUAUAUGUGCCCUUAGGUUUAGGCCUGAAGGACCAGUUUGAAUGAGCUGGUAGAUCAGGACACCCAGAAGAUUAGAAAGAGAGGAAGUGAAUGAUUGCAGGGGCGGGCUGCCAAAGGAGAUGGGCGAGAAUGAAGAAGCGGAAAUGGGUAUUGAUCUAGUUUCUGAUGCAUCCUGCCUGUUACUACCCCACUCUGUGCCUCAGCUUCCCCUUGUGUAAAAUGAGAGCUUCUCAAGUCACUUCCAGGUCUAUAUCUGUGAUCCUGUGAUGAGAUUACAGAUCCACUGAAGUAGCAAAAUAUAAUAUACUAUGUAAUUUAUACACACACACACACACAUGCGUCUAUAUAUCACUAGAAGCUUAAUCUGUCUGUUGAAUUGAAUAGGGAACUCUCUGAUGGCAAAGAUAUGUUU
rnacentral:lncRNA from 1 species